rnacentral:rRNA from 1 species
CGGCGGACGGGUGAGUAACACGUAGGCAACCUGCCCGUAAGCUCGGGAUAACAUGGGGAAACUCAUGCUAAUACCGGAUAGGGUCUUCUCUCGCAUGAGAGGAGACGGAAAGGUGGCGCAAGCUACCACUUACGGAUGGGCCUGCGGCGCAUUAGCUAGUUGGUGGGGUAACGGCCUACCAAGGCGACGAUGCGUAGCCGACCUGAGAGGGUGACCGGCCACACUGGGACUGAGACACGGCCCAGACUCCUACGGGAGG